AGCGAACGCUGGCGGCAGGCCUAACACAUGCAAGUCGAACGAAGUCUUCGGACUUAGUGGCGGACGGGUGAGUAACACGUGGGAACGUGCCUUUAGGUUCGGAAUAACUCAGGGAAACUUGUGCUAAUACCGAAUGUGCCCUUCGGGGGAAAGAUUUAUCGCCUUUAGAGCGGCCCGCGUCUGAUUAGCUAGUUGGGGAGGUAAAGGCUCACCAAGGCUACGAUCAGUAGCUGGUCUGAGAGGAUGACCAGCCACAUUGGGACUGCGACACGGCCCAAACUCCUACGGGAGGCAGCAGUGGGGAAUCUUGCGCAAUGGGCGAAAGCCUGACGCAGCCAUGCCGCGAGGAUGAUGAAGGUCUUAGGAUUGUAAAAUCCUUUCACCGGUGAAGAUAAUGACUGUAGCCGGAGAAGAAGCCCCGGCUAACUUCGUGCCAGCCGCCGCCGUAACAC
rnacentral:rRNA from 1 species